rnacentral:rRNA from 1 species
AAACUAACAAGGAUUCCCCUAGUAACGGCGAGUGAAGCGGGAAGAGCUCAAAUUUGAAAUCUGGCAGCCUUUGGUUGUCCGAGUUGUAAUCUAGAGAAGCGUUUUCCGCGUUGGCCCAUGUACAAGUCUGCUGGAAUGCAGCGUCAUAGAGGGUGAGAAUCCCGUCCUUGACAUGGACUACCAAUGCUUUGUGAUACGUUUUCAACGAGUCGAGUUGUUUGGGAAUGCAGCUCAAAAUGGGUGGUAAAUUCCAUCUAAAGCUAAAUAUUGGCGAGAGACCGAUAGCGAACAAGUACCGUGAGGGAAAGAUGAAAAGCACUUUGGAAAGAGAGUUAAACAGUAUGUGAAAUUGUUGAAAGGGAAACGAUUGAAGUCAGUCGUGGGCUUUGCAUUCAGCUGGUUCUGCCAGUGUACUUGCUUUGCUCGGGGUCAACAUCGGUUUUGGUCGUCGGAAAAGGCUUGGAGGAAUGUGCCACCCCCGGGUGAACUUAUAGCCUCUUUGCUUAUACGAUGGCUGGGACCGAGGAACGCAGCUUGCCUUUAUGGCCGGGGUUCGCCCACGUACAAGCUUAGGAUGUUGACAUAAUGGCUUUAAACGAC